CUACGGGUUGCAGCAGUAAGGAAUAUUGCGCAAUGGAGGCAACUCUGACGCAGCCAUGCCGCGUGCAGGAAGAAGGCCUUAUGGGUCGUAAACUGCUUUUAUUUAGGAAUAAACCCCCGAACGUGUUCGGGGCUGAAGGUACUAAACGAAUAAGCACCGGCUAACUCCGUGCCAGCAGCCGCGGUAAUACGGAGGGUGCAAGCGUUAUCCGGAUUUAUUGGGUUUAAAGGGUGCGCAGGCGGGCUAUUAAGUCCAUGGUGAAAUCCCGGGGCUCAACUCCGGAACUGCCAUUGAUACUGAUAGUCUUGAGUUUGGUUGAAGUGGGCGGAAUGUAGCAUGUAGCGGUGAAAUGCAUAGAUAUGCUACAGAACACCAAUCGCGAAGGCAGCUCACUAAGCCAAAACUGACGCUCAUGCACGAAAGCGUGGGGAUCAAACAGGAUUAGAUACCCCGGUAGUC
rnacentral:rRNA from 1 species